rnacentral:guide_RNA from 1 species
AAGAGGGAACUACUGCCCUCACUGUAUAAUGAU